rnacentral:rRNA from 1 species
CCUACGGGUGGCAGCAGUGAGGAAUAUUGGUCAAUGGACGAGAGUCUGAACCAGCCAAGUCGCGUGCAGGAUGACUGCUCUAUGAGUUGUAAACUUCUUUUGUAUUGGGAUAAACACCCCUACGUGUAGGGGCUUGACUGUAUCAUAUGAAUAAGCAUCGGCUAACUCCGUGCCAGCAGCCGCGGUAAUACGGAGGAUCCAAGCGUUAUCCGGAUUUAUUGGGUUUAAAGGGUGCGUAGGCGGUUUGAUAAGUUAGAGGUGAAAUACCGGGGCUCAACACCGGAACUGCCAUUAAUACUGUUGAACUAGAGAGUAGUUGCGGUAGGCGGAAUGUAUGGAGUAGCGGUGAAAUGCUUAGAGAUCAUACAGAACACCGAUUGCGAAGGCAGCUUACCAAACUAUAUCUGACGUUGAGGCACGAAAGCGUGGGUAGCAAACAGGAUUAGAUACCCCAGUAGUC